GCAGGCACUUGGUGGCCAAACUCUUGGUGCACCUCAGAUUAUUCUGUGUACACCAUCCAUGGGGGGGUCAAGCCAACCCACACCUGUGGAGAGAUAUGCAGGGAGCUUUUUUGACUUUUCCCAAAUAAGUGAGGCGGUGCAAAGGGCAGCAGAAGCCGUGGAAAUUGCACAUGCCAACUGGAGGAAGAUUUUGGAAUCACGAGCUUUGCAGAUUGAACAAGAUGAGGUGUUCCAUGCAGCUCAG